UAGGGAAUCUUCCACAAUGGACGAAAGUCUGAUGGAGCAACGCCGCGUGAGUGAAGAAGGGUUUCGGCUCGUAAAGCUCUGUUGGUAGUGAAGAAAGAUAGAGGUAGUAACUGGCCUUUAUUUGACGGUAAUUACUUAGAAAGUCACGGCUAACUACGUGCCAGCAG
rnacentral:rRNA from 1 species